GGGGCGUGCGGCGUGCUACACAUGCAAGUCGAACGAUGAAGCCCUUCGGGGUGGAUUAGUGGCGAACGGGUGAGUAACACGUGGGCAAUCUGCCCUUCACUCUGGGACAAGCCCUGGAAACGGGGUCUAAUACCGGAUACGACCUGCCGAGGCAUCUUGGCGGGUGGAAAGCUCCGGCGGUGAAGGAUGAGCCCGCGGCCUAUCAGCUUGUUGGUGGGGUAAUGGCCUACCAAGGCGACGACGGGUAGCCGGCCUGAGAGGGCGACCGGCCACACUGGGACUGAGACACGGCCCAGACUCCUACGGGAGGCAGCAGUGGGGAAUAUUGCACAAUGGGCGCAAGCCUGAUGCAGCGACGCCGCGUGAGGGAUGACGGCCUUCGGGUUGUAAACCUCUUUCAGCAGGGAAGAAGCGCAAGUGACGGUACCUGCAGAAGAAGCGCCGGCUAACUACGUGCCAGCAGCCGCGGUAAUACGUAGGGCGCAAGCGUUGUCCGGAAUUAUUGGGCGUAAAGAGCUCGUAGGCGGCUUGUCACGUCGGGUGUGAAAGCCCGGGGCUUAACCCCGGGUCUGCAUCCGAUACGGGCAGGCUAGAGUGUGGUAGGGGAGAUCGGAAUUCCUGGUGUAGCGGUGAAAUGCGCAGAUAUCAGGAGGAACACCGGUGGCGAAGGCGGAUCUCUGGGCCAUUACUGACGCUGAGGAGCGAAAGCGUGGGGAGCGAACAGGAUUAGAUACCCUGGUAGUCCACGCCGUAAACGUUGGGAACUAGGUGUUGGCGACAUUCCACGUCGUCGGUGCCGCAGCUAACGCAUUAAGUUCCCCGCCUGGGGAGUACGGCCGCAAGGCUA
rnacentral:rRNA from 1 species